UUGGGAUGCUCUCGGGAAUGUACCAACGUCGUUCCAGCAGUGCCCGCAGCGGGGGCAGGGACGUGCUCGCAGUGUGGGGACUUUGGUUAAGGAGUUCAGUUAAAUUUCGUGCACCUCGCAGAAAAUACGGCCAGGCUUCUGCUGCUUUAUUUGUAAUAAAGGCCAAACACCCUUGAAAACUAAAGCCUUUAAGUAUCCCUAUCCUUCUCUGUCUCAGAGGUGUGGAAGAAGAUUGGAUCUGGGAAAUAUUUUGGAAGGGAUUCUAAUCUCUGAGUGGGGGAAUAAAAAUACUCUGUGUGCUGUGUGUCAUGAGAUAAGGAACAUUCUCUGUUUUCCUGUCCUAGGUCAAUAGAGUCACCGUUGCUAAUAAUUGAAGCUGCAAAGCUCCCAUUCCUUUAAAGUCUAUGGCAGUAUUGCCUGAGUCAAGACUACAAGAUUCUUCUUGCCUUGUACUGCUUCUUAAAAGUGUACAUCACUUACUACAUAAAUGAAAUACUACUCAAAGUGUAGAGUUCCUGCAGUCCUUCUGCUGGAGUCUGCCUAGGAAUUCUCUGUUUUGGCUUGACUAUGUGAGAAGAGAACUUCUGCACCUCAGGACAGUGUCAGCUGCAUAGAAUCAAAAGGUACAGAUCCAGAGGUAUUCCAAGGCUGGGACUUCAGUCAUCUUUUCUGCUGCUUCCAGAGAGAGAGGAGACAGAGGAAAGGGCUGCAAAUUUGGAGAGCAAUCACUAAACUACACAGAUGCUCAGCGAAGGCUUUGGAAACUAACACCUCAUGUAGAGUACUUGCCUAGGUCUUCCAGAGUGCCCCCUGGAACAUCUCGCUGUUUUCCUGUCUGUACAGGGAAUGCAUUG